rnacentral:piRNA from 1 species
UUGGAUUCAGGUCUCUGAGCUCAAUGCCCUA